rnacentral:pre_miRNA from 1 species
CAAAUACUCCCUCCGUCCGGAAAUACUUGUCAUUAAAAUGGAUAAAAGUAAAUGUAGAUACAUCUCUUUUUAUCCAUUUUGAUGACAAGUAUUUCCAGACGGAGGGAGUAUUUA